CAACCCUUAAGCCCUGUUGCUUAGCGUUGGGAGCCCGCUGGCCCUGGGCCUGCGGCUCCUCAAAGUUAGUGGCGGAGUUAGUGUACACUCUAGGCGUAGUAAUUUUUAUCUCGCCUCUGUAGUUACGCUGGCACCUGCCGUAAAACACCCAAUUUUUAAAU
rnacentral:misc_RNA from 2 species